rnacentral:rRNA from 1 species
GAUGAACGCUAGCUACAGGCUUAACACAUGCAAGUCGAGGGGAAACGGCAUUAAGUGCUUGCACUUUUUGGACGUCGACCGGCGCACGGGUGAGUAACGCGUAUCCAACCUUCCCAUGACUAAGGGAUAACCUGCCGAAAGGCAGACUAAUACCUUAUGGUCUUCACUGACGGCAUCAGAUGUGAAGUAAAGAUUUAUCGGUUAUGGAUGGGGAUGCGUCUGAUUAGCUUGUUGGCGGGGUAACGGCCCACCAAGGCAACGAUCAGUAGGGGUUCUGAGAGGAAGGUCCCCGACAUUGGAACUGAGACACGGUCCAAACACCUACGGGAGGCAGCAGUGAGGAAUAGUGGUCAAUGGGCGAGAGCCUGAACCAGCCAAGUAGCGUGCAGGAUGACGGCCCUAUGGGUUGUAAACUGCUUUUGUAUGGGGAUAAAGUCAAUCACGUGUGAUUGUUUGCAGGUACCAUACGAAUAAGGACCGGCUAAUUCCGUG